rnacentral:rRNA from 1 species
GUCCACGCCCUAAACGAUGUCAACUAGUUGUUCGGAGAGGUAACUUUCUGAGUAACGCAGCUAACGCGUGAAGUUGACCGCCUGGGGAGUACGGCCGCAAGGUUAAAACUCAAAGGAAUUGACGGGGACCCGCACAAGCGGUGGAUGAUGUGGAUUAAUUCGAUGCAACGCGAAAACCUUACCUACCCUUGACAUGCCUGGAAUCCUGCAGAGAUGCGGGAGUGCCUUCGGGAGCCAGGACACAGGUGCUGCAUGGCUGUCGU